GUCUGGAAUCUCCUUAGAAUAUCUACAAGAUGCACAAGUCGAGCUCAGAAUAAAACAAAUAUCAUUUUAUGCAGCAUUAUAAACUAUUCAAAUUUUGGAUAGAAGAAAAUGAAUUAAAAAGAUGCUGAAAUACUGAGUUUCUAAGGAAUUAUCAUUAAACAAUACGUAAACCCACAAUUAAAUGUAUCCAAAUCAUGUUUUUAUGAUUCUGUUGCUACUGAUUCAGUUUCAACCGAGAUUGAAAUUGUUCGUAAAAUGAAAACUUGAUUCCUUAAUGGAUGCAAAAAAUAUGAUGCUUCAAUGUAUUAAAACAGAAAAAAUCAACUCAAGCUUUCACUCAUUUAUACUACACUGUAUUAUCAAAAUUAGUGGAGUUUAGCACAGCUGGGAAUUUCAAUAGGUUGUAUAUAUAUAUAUAUAUUUCACAUGCAUGACAUAGUUUGUGCCUUUG
rnacentral:misc_RNA from 1 species